GACGAACGCUGGCGGCGUGCUUAACACAUGCAAGUCGAACGGAAAGGCCCUGCUUUUGUGGGGUGCUCGAGUGGCGAACGGGUGAGUAACACGUGAGUAUCCUGCCCUUGACUUUGGGAUAACUUCAGGAAACUGGGGCUAAUACCGGAUAGGAGCUCCUGCUGCAUGGUGGGGGUUGGAAAGUUUCGGCGGUUGGGGAUGGACUCGCGGCUUAUGAGCUUGUUGGUGGGGUAGUGGCUUACCAAGGCUUUGACGGGUAGCCGGCCUGAGAGGGUGACCGGCCACAUUGGGACUGAGAUACGGCCCAGACUCCUACGGGAGGCAGCAGUGGGGAAUAUGGCACAAUGGGGGGAAGCGUGAUGCAGCAACGCCGCGUGCGGGAUGACGGCCUUCGGGUUGUGAACCGCUUUCGCCUGUGACGAAGCGUGAGUGACGGUAAUGAGUAAAGAAGCACCGGCUAACUACGUG
rnacentral:rRNA from 1 species